GCAAGAUCGUUUUGAUGCCCGUGUUGAUGUUACUUCAUGGUGUGAAUGUGGCCAUUGUUCGUUGGAUCUUGUUGUCAACCCUCAAGAGUGCCGAUGCUGCAUGGAAAUAGAGCAAUGCCGUGGUAAAAUGUAUCAGUUCGAAAUCGAUGAAAGGAAAUGCAUUUGGGAUCACCCUGGCUUUAACGAAGUUUGCCUGAACGAAUUUGUUCUUCAAGCAGCUUCGUUAGGUUUAAAGACCAAAGGUCAUCGCAUGAUACAGACACUUCAUUUUGUAUUUCCUUUAAAACCUUAGUAUAAAUGUAUAUUAUAUAUUGAAAGUUUGCCUGGAUGUAUUAUUGGUUCUCUCAAAUUGUGAAAAUUUAUUAUCUGCAAUAUGUGUAAGUAUAUAAUAAUUGCAACUUGUGCUAACCUGACGCCGCUCUCUUGACGUUGUUGGUGUUUGUGGUUUCUUCCAAAUAGUAGGUACGGCACCAGGUUUGAGCCGUCUAGUCAUACCACCCAAAUGGAAUAAACGCUCAAAACAAUCAUCCGAGAUGUGAUUCGAACAAAUCAUAAAUCGAAUUUUGCGCGAACUCGGAUUAAAGUUUGCGCGCUUCGUCUGAA